AACGAACGCUGGCGGCAGGCUUAACACAUGCAAGUCGAGCGCUCCGCAAGGGGAGCGGCAGACGGGUGAGUAACGCGUUGGAAUCUACCCAUCUCUACGGAAUAACGCAUGGAAACGUGUGCUAAUACCGUAUACGUCCUUCGGGAGAAAGAUUUAUCGGAGAUGGAUGAGCCCGCGUUGGAUUAGCUAGUUGGUGGGGUAAAGGCCUACCAAGGCGACGAUCCAUAGCUGGUCUGAGAGGAUGAUCAGCCACACUGGGACUGAGACACGGCCCAGACUCCUACGGGAGGCAGCAGUGGGGAAUAUUGGACAAUGGGCGCAAGCCUGAUCCAGCCAUGCCGCGUGAGUGAUGAAGGCCCUAGGGUUGUAAAGCUCUUUCACCGGUGAAGAUAAUGACGGUAACCGGAGAAGAAGCCCCGGCUAACUUCGUGCCAGCCGCCGCAGUAACAC
rnacentral:rRNA from 1 species